AGCAGCUGCUCUGCAUCUGCUUCACAUCUCUGACCAAGAUUCCAAAGGAAAGAGUGUAAAAGACCCAUUUUAAUUGUUUUCUUAUUAUUGUUUAACAUUUCCUUUGAUUCAAGAUGCCCUUAAUUUCAGAGGAAGUAUGUUGAAGAUGUAAAAGAAAAUGACAAAAAGGUGUCAAUGUUUGUAAAGUGUAUUUUGUUUUGAAGACUUUUAUUGUGAAGGUUCCACUUACUUCCGCUUUUUCUGUGAAGCGUGUCAGUUUAACAGAAACAAAAAAACGGUUAACAGCUGAUGCUACGGCAACAAAGGAAACAGACAAAAAAGACGGACGGAUAACUGUGUAAAGCUGUAAUUUGUUUUUGGCAUCUAGCUGGAAGGCGAACAGCUCUUACGGUGUGACUAUGACUGUGGAGUAAAUAAAUGGGUUGGAAUACCCCAUCAUAGUCCAUCA